AAGCAAUACGUACUGCCUAUACAGAAAUGUGUAGAAGUGCAUACAUAAUGUUUACAGUUAUUUUAAAAUAUAUAUAUAACUGAAUGAUAAAUAUGUUUUAAGUCACAUAGCCUGUACCACAUUUUUCUCUAUUAAAAAUGACAAUCAUUCACUUGUCUACAAUUAAUAUAUCUUAGUAAGACUAUGACGGAAAAAAACAUUAAAAGACAAUACAUACAUUAUUAUUAUUAUUAUUAUUAUUAUUAUUAUUAUAGUCUUGCUCUGUUGUCAGGCUGGAGUAAGGUCUUGUGAUCUCGGCUCACUGCAACCUCCGCCUCCCAGGUUCAAGCAAUUCUUCUGCCUCAGCCUCCCAAGUAGCUGGGAUUACAGGCAUGCGCUGUGACACCCAGCUAACUUUUGUAUUUUUAGUAGAGAUGGGGUUUCACCAUGUUGGCCAGGAUGGUCGUGAUCUGCCUGCCUCAGCCUCCCAAAGUGCUGGGAUUACAGGAAAUUAUAACAUCGACCUGAUAGGAUUGCCAAGAAGAUUAACUGACAUAUUAUAUGCAAAGCACUUAGAACAAUGCCUGGCACAUGGGUGUAGCACUGUAAAUGUUUGUCGGAAACAACACUAUCAGGAAAUAUGAUUAUCCUGGAAUAUAUUUGAAGACAGUUCAGCCAAAAUAUAUCCAAAACAGUUUAAGGUGAAACAAUCGCAGCAAUAUAUCUCAAGAAAUGAUUUUUAGUUGUAUACAGGCUCUUUUUCCUUACAGUUAAAUGUGUCUGUAGAAAAGAAAUAACCUAAAUGUCUUCAAAUUUUUGAAUAUUUGCUUCACUCAUAAAAUGCUUAAUACUAGUUGGUAUACUUGUUUAUAUAAUAAACUUUCAUUAGAAUGUUCUGCAUGUAACAUAUAAAAAAUGUCACAAAACAAUAAUUUUAUAAAGCAAGCAAGAAAGCUUUCAAUUUUCAGUCUACCUAUAGGUUUUAUCAUGAAGUCAAAAUAUUAUUUCUUUUGUGUAAACUAUAAGUAUAGAUUUUCCUAAUUAUUAGUGUACUCUCUAACAAGAGAUAAGUUAGCAUCAGUGUUACUAUUCUGAUAACUACUUCUCAUUCACAUCAAAUUUAAUUUGGCUUGAGUAAUAAAUCUUUAUUUUGAUUGUCCUUAGUCUUGGUUCUCAGACUUUAUUAAAUAAAUGAUGCAUAUAAUUUACUUUUUUCCAUUAAAUUAUUGCUCUCUAGGUCAUGAAGUUUAUAGUCAUGAAAUUCUACAAUAAUAUUAUCUUUAUAAGAUUGGUUUCCAUCAUUUCACAUAAAUUAUACCUGUUUAGACUGUCUAUUACUAGGUA
rnacentral:lncRNA from 1 species